rnacentral:rRNA from 1 species
AUUGAACGCUGGCGGCAUGCCUUACACAUGCAAGUCGAACGGCAGCGCGGGGCAACCUGGCGGCGAGUGGCGAACGGGUGAGUAACAUAUCGGAACAUACCCUAGAGUGGGGGAUAACGUAGCGAAAGUUACGCUAAUACCGCAUACGCACUAAGGUGGAAAGUGGGGGAUCUUCGGACCUCAUGCUCAUGGAGUGGCCGAUAUCUGAUUAGCUAGUUGGUGAGGUAAAGGCUCACCAAGGCGACGAUCAGUAGCUGGUUUGAGAGAACGACCAGCCACACUGGAACUGAGACACGGUCCAGACUCCUACGGGAGGCAGCAGUGGGGGAAUUUUGGGACAAUGGGCGGCAAGCCUGAUCCAGCAAUGCCGCGUGCAGGAUGAAGGCCU